rnacentral:tRNA from 1 species
AGGAUUUAAGUUAAAAUAAACUAACAACCUUCAAAGUUGCAAACAAAGUAAAGUCUUUAAGCCUUA